GCAGUGCUGAGGAGUCCCAUACCAGGACGAAACGGCCGUCCAGUGC
rnacentral:hammerhead_ribozyme from 1 species